UACGGGGGGGGCAAGGCGUUGUUCGGAAUUACUGGGCGUAAAGGGCUCGAUAGGCGGCCAACUAAGUUCAAACGUGAAAUCCCUCGGCUUAACCGGGGAACCGUGCGUCUGAUACUGGAUGGCUUGAGUUUGGGAGAGGGAUGCGGAAUUCCGGAGGUGUAGCUGGUGAAAUGCGUAGAUAUCUGGAGGAACACCGGUGGCGAAGGCGGCAUCCUGGACCAACACUGACCGCUGAGGAGCGAAAGCCAGGGGAGCAAACAGGG
rnacentral:rRNA from 1 species